rnacentral:tRNA from 1 species
GCCUUCGUGGUGUAGUGGUUAGCACGCUCAGCGUGUAUUCCAGAGGUCUGAGGUUCGAGUCCCGGCGAGGACA